CACGUAGGCGGAUAUUUAAGUCAGGGGUGAAAUCCCAGAGCUCAACUCUGGAACUGCCUUUGAUACUGGGUAUCUUGAGUAUGGAAGAGGUAAGUGGAAUUCCGAGUGUAGAGGUGAAAUUCGUAGAUAUUCGGAGGAACACCAGUGGCGAAGGCGGUUUACUGGUCCAUUACUGACGCUGAGGUGCGAAAGCGUGGGGAGCAAACA
rnacentral:rRNA from 1 species